CGUCAGCAGCGGAUAAGAUGGCGAAGGGCCCAGCAGCAGAGAAGGUGGCGAAGGGCCCGGCACCACUCGUUCGCUGCCAUAGCGAGGACCAGCGCCACAAGCAGCACCCCUGUACCAAUUCCUCCGCCGCCGGCAUUUGCGGACCCGCCUCGUCCUGGUACCGGCCAAGUUCCAGGACCAGGGCGAUAUGGCCCGGACAACCUCACUAGGG